GCUCAGUUUGUCCUGGGAAUCAGUGUGAUAGGAAUGGGAGCAUUAACAGCAUCCUCUCCUCCGAGAAUCUGUUGCUUUGCACUUUGGCAGCAAGACAUCUUUAAGAUAUACAAAACCAAGUUAAAAUGUUAAUAAGAAAAUCAACAGCUAUCUCUCUGCAGCUGGGCCGUGGCAGAUGCCAUAUCCACGGUGCUUAAAAACUCAGAGGAGCUGCAUUCCUGGAGGAGACAUCUCUUCUCAGCCUGCAUAAAGGGGUUUGUUGCCAUGUACAGCAGCAGUAAAGAUGAAGGCAAGCAAGAAGUGGAGAGGCCCAUGCUGCUGAGGCUAGAGGAAUUAUUGUGCGUGGUUGAAGAAGUGGACCCAGAUGACUGGUGUGACCUUGUGAAGACAGGGCUCAAGUACCGUUACAGAGAUGAAACAUUUCUGAAGGUCCUGAACGUUGCCAUCCAGUUACUAUACAUGAAAGAAUCCUCACUUAGAGCGUAGUCAAGCUCUCCAAACUACACAUGGUGGUCACACAGCACUCUCCAUUUUUGGCAGCCAUCCUGAGGUCAAGAGAAGAAGAUGGCAUGAGCGUCCAGACAAGAGGACAGGAGAAAUCAUUAAAUUCCUCCCAUCUUUGCCAGAAGCUUCAGUGUUUAAGCAGCCAGAGCCAAGAGGCUUCAGCACCAGGGGUGUGCGCUGGAGGGCUCCUGGUCCUGCCCACGCUGUGGGGGAGCCAGGGCUGGCACAAGGACUCGUGCAGGUGCUGCUCUGGCACCGGAGCUGUUGCCCUGUGGAGCCAUUUUAAAGGUGUGAUUAUGGAACAUUUUGGAGGCUGUUUCUGGAAUUCCAUUUGUAGCUGGAUCUCACUCCGAGUGCAGCAGUCCAGGCGAGGGUUCUGACCUCUCCAGACUUGUGCUCACCUUGGUACAGCCCGGGGCUGGAGCAGUUUUCCAGGGAAGUGGAGAUGGCUGAGGAUGGGUGCUCUGGAAAGCAGGGACCUGCUGGGAUUUGCAUUUGCAAAGCUGCCGUGAAGUUUGUAAAACCAGCAGGAAAUUCUAAUUCCUGUGGUUUUUGGGCAGGAGGUGCAGGUCACCCUGAGAGCUAGAUCAGAACUGGUUUGUGGUAAGGAGUCUGAGGUGUGUAAGUCCCACAGCUGGUAUGAGCUGUGUGCUAAAUGCAGUCCCAGCCCCAGAGGGAGGCUGAUGGGCUCUGCUCAUUGCUGUCCCCAGCCCGCUGCUCCCCCGUGGAUCUGCUCUGGAUUCGGGCUGUCGGUGCUGGAGCGCCCUGCUCCCUGCAGGGCCCUGCCCCUAACCCACGCAGAGAGAGAGAGCCCUGCUGGCCAGAGUGAUCUUUUUUCAUUUUUUCUCCCUGUGCUGUUAGCAAGGAAGGGAUGGGACUGCUCUUGGGCCGGGAGCACUCAGUGCUCAGGUGAGCACCCGCCUGGGAGCGUGAGG